CAAGGUUCCGCCCCUCUGACACACACAAGAGGCGGUCUGUAUAGAUGACACUGACAGUCAGCAUUCCAUGCUUUCCUGAAGACUGUAAAAGCAGCAAGUGACUGAAUUUCCUACCCCUGAAGAAGUCCAUAUAUGAACGAAACGCAUAGGGUUACUGGUGCCAUGUACAUGCACUAAGCUGGAGGAUCCUGCCAGUUGAGCUCACACCUGCGACGCCCAGCAUCUAUUCAUGGGAGAGAGCGUCAGGAGGCACGCCAGCGGCCCCCGGAGCGCUGGGAAUGGCCCCACAGUGACGGUAAACAGGAGGCUUGGCUUGCAGUUGCAGCACUACCAUGAAUCCACUCCCUUUUAUGGAGACCACACCCCUUUUCAAGCGGGGUUACCUUCUGCACAUGCAGGAGACCUGAGUUCAGCAUGUAAAAUACUGGAGGUAUGACCCAUAUUCUCUAUGUACACAGAUAUGCACUAGGGGUAUUUUUUUCAUCAGAGGCUUUUAACCUUUCAGUAAGUUUUUGGCUUAUGAAAAGAAACCACAGAAACAGCCCCUGCUUGAAAUCAAAUCCAUGACUAAAGUUAAUAAAAUACAAAUUUCUUUCUUCACUUGAUUGCAGGUUUAAGCUUUAUUUUAAACGCGGUUAUCUACUCUCAGCCUACAAGUAUUCUGGAAAUAUUUCCUUUGUCCAUUCUCCUCAUCUCCAGCUUCACAAUCAUUUCUCUAGCUGUUGAUCAAAAGCAGCUGUGUAGUAUAGGGAUGUUUUUAUUUUUUUCUCUUUUUUUAAUUUAGAAGAAAGACACAGAGUUAAUCUUAAUUUUCACUUUAUAAUCAGUUAAUUCUGAUGCCACAGCUCACAGAUUGUACAUUUACAUAUUUUGGUUCUUUCAGUUAGAUUGCUGCUAGGUUUCACAGUCCACUUUCACAUUCAGUCACAUAAAACAACUAGGACAGAUAUUGUUUAAUAACAAAUAGCCACCAAGUACUAGAGUUAUGCUACGGGGCACCAUAUAGAUAGUGGGGAUGCGGUUAUGUUACCGGCACUCAGGAUCCCGGCAGUCAGCAUGCCGACUCCGGGAUCCCGAUCGCGAAAAAUGCCGGCAGUUGGAAUCCCGACCCACAGAGUCUAUUUCCACAUAGAGUGGUAAUAACAAGCCUGCAAGGGGCUUUGUUGCGCUGACCACCCCCCCUUCCCCCCCUUGCUGGUAUGCUGCUGCCGGGAUCCCAGUGUUGGUAUGCCGACCACCGGGAUCCCUGCAGCUGGCAUAACAUACCCAACCCUUUUAUUUCUCAGAUUUCAGGUCCUUAUAUGUCACCUGUACAUAUCUGAAUUUACAUGGCUAGGUUACAUUAACUGUAUACAUACCUCAAAAUCUGAGGUCAGGAUUGGAGCAACUGCCAUAGCAAAGCAUCAAACCGCUGUUUAUUUUGUGUGUGUCAUGGGGCGAAUAGUGCACUUCCUUUGAAUUAAAACAAAUUAAGAGCAGGCAGCAUGGCUGCCAUUCCUUUCUCAUCUUACUAAUUAGUCAAUGUUAUAAAUAAGCAGAUACAGUGAAACAACUAUUUAUCAUUAGAUGGUUUAGUCUGACUCCACAGGAGCUUGUCAGUAUUCUAAGGGUAGAGCCUAUAAACCUACUGUAUAGGUCAAUUGCAGUCUGGUGUUGAGUCUUUGGCUAUAUACAGCUGCUGUACAAGAGAAAGGAGAGGGGCAUAUUCAGCCAUCAGUAAUGUGGCACAGACAGAGAGUCCCAGCCUUGUCCACAUAUAACACUGGACAGCACAUAAAGAGCACUCUAUUUAUUGGAUGCUGGCCAGUUCCAAUGUGCACAACAUCCUCAUUGGCUGCCCAUGAAAGCAUCUCCCAGUGAAUGGGUGAAGAAUUAGCUUCUGCCUUGUAAUUGGAUGGAGUUUAUCCUGGAGCUGGAGGUCAGGUCAGAG